GUGCUGUUCUGGCAACCCUCCUCGUGGCUGCAGCGGUCGUUGAGGCCCAGUAUGGCUACGCAAAGCCUUGUCCUCCGGAGGUCAGAUACGUGACCAAGACGCAGUCGGUGCCCCAGUAUGUCACUGUGACCCGAUACCAAACUCAGACGCAGUACCAUACCGCUUACACCACCCAGUACGUGACAGAGACCCAGGCCGUGCCCCAGUAUGUGACACAGACGAAAGCAGUGCCCCGCUACGUGACCGAGACAGUGCCACAGUACGUCACCACAACCGUCCAGCAGCAGGAGUACGUCACUGUCGACCAGUACUGCAAGC